rnacentral:rRNA from 1 species
GUUGAACGCUGACAGAAUGCUUAACACAUGCAAGUCCACUUGAACUUCGGCUUGUGUGUCGGACGGGUGAGUAACGCUUAAAGAACUUGCCUCACAGUUAGGGACAACAUUUGGAAACGAAUGCUAAUACCUGAUAUUAUGACUUUAGGGCAUCCUAGAAUCAUGAAAGCUAUAUGCGCUGUGAGAGAGCUUUGCGUCCCAUUAGCUAGUUGGAGAGGUAACGGCUCACCAAGGCGAUGAUGGGUAGCCGGCCUGAGAGGGUGAAAGGCCGCAAGGGGACUGAGACACGGCCCUUACUCCUACGGGAGGCAGCAGUGGGGAAUAUUGGACAAUGGACCAAGAGUCUGAUCCAGCAAUUCUGUGUGCACGAUGAAAUUUUUCGGAAUGUAAAGUGCUUUCAGUUGGGAAGAAAAAAAUGACGGUACCAACAGAAGAAGUGACGGCUAAAUACGUG